rnacentral:lncRNA from 1 species
GGAUCCCGGGGGGCCAGACCAGUGUUCCCCAUUUGUGGGGGCAGACGCGUGGGCGCAUCGCGGGCAGCUAUGUUUCCAGUGUCCUCUGGGUGUUUCCAAGAGCAACAAGAAACGAAUAAAUCUCUGAUUCUACUUCUGCAGGGUUCCACAGAAGUCUCCAAUCUUUAAAUCUUCAGUGUAUGAAAGCACAGAUUCCUGAAAGAAUGGCCUCAAAUGACCAGGAGUAGGAGCUCUCUAUAUCCCUGCUCCUGAAAAACAAGCUAACUGGAGUCUCCAUCACCUGCCACCAGCUAUACACACUACCAACUACCCAACUGAACUCCAUGACUGAUUUUCCAGCUAAUCAUGCCCCUGACCCAGCCCACAUGGACAUGGGAAGGACAUCAGUGAACUGUGAAAAGAGGCAGAGACUCACUUCCGUUUGUAUUAUUAAAACACACGCCAAUAGGACAUAGAAAGAAGCAAGAGUACUGGGCUUUACCAUGAGUUCAAAUCUCAUUUCUGCCAAUUCCUAUGUCUAAAAAAAAGCUUCGUAAUCUCUUUGAGCCUCACAUUCUCUAUCUAGAGAAUCACUUGACCAGAAUGUUCAACGCAGAGAAAAAUACUAGAAGGUAUUUUAAUUCAUUCCAAGAUUCCUUAAAAUUCUGUAAUUCUAUGUCCUCUUGAUUCUGUCUAUAGAAA